rnacentral:rRNA from 1 species
CAGUCGUACCGACGGAAAAGGGUUUGGGGAAUGUGGCACCUCCGGGUGUGUUAUAGCCCCUUGCUGUAUACACUGGUUGGGAUUGAGGUUUCAGUGCACGCUUCGGUUGUGCUUUGAUGCUGGCGUAAUGGCUUUAAGCGACCCGUCUUGAAACACGGACCAAGGAGUCUAACAUAUAUGCGAGUGUU